GGGUUGUGAGGUUAAGCGACUAAGCGUACACGGUGGAUGCCCUGGCAGUCAGAGGCGAUGAAGGACGUGCUAAUCUGCGAUAAGCGUCGGUGAGGUGAUAUGAACCGUUAUAACCGGCGAUUUCCGAAUGGGGAAACCCAGUGUGUUUCGACACACUAUCAUUAACUGAAUCCAUAGGUUAAUGAGGCGAACCGGGGGAACUGAAACAUCUAAGUACCCCGAGGAAAAGAAAUCAACCGAGAUUCCCCCAGUAGCGGCGAGCGAACGGGGAGGAGCCCAGAGCCUGAAUCAGUGUGUGUGUUAGUGGAAGCGUCUGGAAAGGCGCGCGAUACAGGGUGACAGCCCCGUACACAAAAAUGCACAUAUUGUGAGCUCGAUGAGUAGGGCGGGACACGUGGUAUCCUGUCUGAAUAUGGGGGGACCAUCCUCCAAGGCUAAAUACUCCUGACUGACCGAUAGUGAACCAGUACCGUGAGGGAAAGGCGAAAAGAACCCCGGCGAGGGGAGUGAAAAAGAACCUGAAACCGUGUACGUACAAGCAGUGGGAGCCUCUUAAUGGGGUGACUGCGUACCUUUUGUAUAAUGGGUCAGCGACUUAUAUUCUGUAGCAAGGUUAACCGAAUAGGGGAGCCGAAGGGAAACCGAGUCUUAACUGGGCGUUAAGUUGCAGGGUAUAGACCCGAAACCCGGUGAUCUAGCCAUGGGCAGGUUGAAGGUUGGGUAACACUAACUGGAGGACCGAACCGACUAAUGUUGAAAAAUUAGCGGAUGACUUGUGGCUGGGGGUGAAAGGCCAAUCAAACCGGGAGAUAGCUGGUUCUCCCCGAAAGCUAUUUAGGUAGCGCCUCGUGAAUUCAUCUCCGGGGGUAGAGCACUGUUUCGGCAAGGGGGUCAUCCCGACUUACCAACCCGAUGCAAACUGCGAAUACCGGAGAAUGUUAUCACGGGAGACACACGGCGGGUGCUAACGUCCGUCGUGAAGAGGGAAACAACCCAGACCGCCAGCUAAGGUCCCAAAGUCAUGGUUAAGUGGGAAACGAUGUGGGAAGGCCCAGACAGCCAGGAUGUUGGCUUAGAAGCAGCCAUCAUUUAAAGAAAGCGUAAUAGCUCACUGGUCGAGUCGGCCUGCGCGGAAGAUGUAACGGGGCUAAACCAUGCACCGAAGCUGCGGCAGCGACACUAUGUGUUGUUGGGUAGGGGAGCGUUCUGUAAGCCUGUGAAGGUGGCCUGUGAGGGUUGCUGGAGGUAUCAGAAGUGCGAAUGCUGACAUAAGUAACGAUAAAGCGGGUGAAAAGCCCGCUCGCCGGAAGACCAAGGGUUCCUGUCCAACGUUAAUCGGGGCAGGGUGAGUCGACCCCUAAGGCGAGGCCGAAAGGCGUAGUCGAUGGGAAACAGGUUAAUAUUCCUGUACUUGGUGUUACUGCGAAGGGGGGACGGAGAAGGCUAUGUUGGCCGGGCGACGGUUGUCCCGGUUUAAGCGUGUAGGCUGGUUUUCCAGGCAAAUCCGGAAAACCAAGGCUGAGGCGUGAUGACGAGGCACUACGGUGCUGAAGCGACAAAUGCCCUGCUUCCAGGAAAAGCCUCUAAGCAUCAGGUAACAUCAAAUCGUACCCCAAACCGACACAGGUGGUCAGGUAGAGAAUACCAAGGCGCUUGAGAGAACUCGGGUGAAGGAACUAGGCAAAAUGGUGCCGUAACUUCGGGAGAAGGCACGCUGAUAUGUAGGUGAAGCGACUUGCUCGUGGAGCUGAAAUCAGUCGAAGAUACCAGCUGGCUGCAACUGUUUAUUAAAAACACAGCACUGUGCAAACACGAAAGUGGACGUAUACGGUGUGACGCCUGCCCGGUGCCGGAAGGUUAAUUGAUGGGGUUAGCGGCAACGCGAAGCUCUUGAUCGAAGCCCCGGUAAACGGCGGCCGUAACUAUAACGGUCCUAAGGUAGCGAAAUUCCUUGUCGGGUAAGUUCCGACCUGCACGAAUGGCGUAAUGAUGGCCAGGCUGUCUCCACCCGAGACUCAGUGAAAUUGAACUCGCUGUGAAGAUGCAGUGUACCCGCGGCAAGACGGAAAGACCCCGUGAACCUUUACUAUAGCUUGACACUGAACAUUGAGCCUUGAUGUGUAGGAUAGGUGGGAGGCUUUGAAGUGUGGACGCCAGUCUGCAUGGAGCCGACCUUGAAAUACCACCCUUUAAUGUUUGAUGUUCUAACGUUGGCCCGUAAUCCGGGUUGCGGACAGUGUCUGGUGGGUAGUUUGACUGGGGCGGUCUCCUCCUAAAGAGUAACGGAGGAGCACGAAGGUUGGCUAAUCCUGGUCGGACAUCAGGAGGUUAGUGCAAUGGCAUAAGCCAGCUUGACUGCGAGCGUGACGGCGCGAGCAGGUGCGAAAGCAGGUCAUAGUGAUCCGGUGGUUCUGAAUGGAAGGGCCAUCGCUCAACGGAUAAAAGGUACUCCGGGGAUAACAGGCUGAUACCGCCCAAGAGUUCAUAUCGACGGCGGUGUUUGGCACCUCGAUGUCGGCUCAUCACAUCCUGGGGCUGAAGUAGGUCCCAAGGGUAUGGCUGUUCGCCAUUUAAAGUGGUACGCGAGCUGGGUUUAGAACGUCGUGAGACAGUUCGGUCCCUAUCUGCCGUGGGCGCUGGAGAACUGAGGGGGGCUGCUCCUAGUACGAGAGGACCGGAGUGGACGCAUCACUGGUGUUCGGGUUGUCAUGCCAAUGGCACUGCCCGGUAGCUAAAUGCGGAAGAGAUAAGUGCUGAAAGCAUCUAAGCACGAAACUUGCCCCGAGAUGAGUUCUCCCUGACUCCUUGAGGGUCCUGAAGGAACGUUGAAGACGACGACGUUGAUAGGCCGGGUGUGUAAGCGCAGCGAUGCGUUGAGCUAACCGGUACUAAUGAAC
rnacentral:rRNA from 1 species